UCAACCUCAGCCAACAGUGUCUCAAGAAAUAGGCUUUACUGGAGCGACAUCUACACUGAAUACCUACGAACAACUGCAAGACAGAACAGAUACUGAACACAGAGAUGCUUAUGAUUCCCUUGAUGGCCCGGAUAAUCAAAGUCAUCCUCCACCAACAGAGUU